UCGGAUUUAGUGUAUGGUGCACGCCCGCCUUCGUUAAUGCGAUUUGAAAGCUCCGCGGGAAGCCGGGUUCGAUUCCCGCCAUCCGAA